rnacentral:rRNA from 1 species
GAGUUUGAUCCUGGCUCAGGAUGAACGCUGGCGGCGUGCCUAAUACAUGCAAGUCGAGCGGUAAGGCUACUUCGGUAGUACACGAGCGGCGGACGGCUGAGUAACACGUAGGAACGUACCCCAAAGUGAGGCAUAAGCACCAGAAAUGGUGUCUAAUACCGCAUGUGAUCUUCGGAUUAAAGCUUCGGCGCUUUGGGAACGGCCUGCGCAUGAUUAGCUUGUUGGUGAGGUAAUAGCUCACCAAGGCGACGAUCAUUAGCUGGUCUGAGAGGAUGACCAGCCAGACUGGGACUGAGAACGGCCCAGACUCCUACGGGAGGCAGCAGUAGGGAAUUUUCCACAAUGGGCGAAAGCCUGAUGGAGCAACGCCGCGUGCAGGAUGAAGGCCUCGGUUGUAAACUGCUUUAUACGUGAAGAUAUGACGGUAGCAUAUGAAUAAGGAUACGGCUAACUCCGUGCCAGCCGCCGCCGUAAU